rnacentral:rRNA from 1 species
GAUGAACGCUGGCGGCGUGCCUAAUACAUGCAAGUCGAGCGAACAGACGAGGAGCUUGCUCCUCUGACGUUAGCGGCGGACGGGUGAGUAACACGUGGAUAACCUACCUAUAAGACUGGGAUAACUUCGGGAAACCGGAGCUAAUACCGGAUAAUAUAUUGAACCGCAUGGUUCAAUAGUGAAAGACGGUUUUGCUGUCACUUAUAGAUGGAUCCGCGCCGCAUUAGCUAGUUGGUAAGGUAACGGCUUACCAAGGCAACGAUGCGUAGCCGACCUGAGAGGGUGAUCGGCCACACUGGAACUGAGAAACGGUCCAGACUCCUACGGGAGGGAGCAGUAGGGAAUCUUCCGCAAUGGGGGAAAGCUUGACGGAGCAACGCCGCGUGAGUGAUGAAGGUCUUCGGAUCGUAAAACUCUGUUAUUAGGGAAGAACAAAUGUGUAAGUAAAUAUGCACGUCUUGACGGUAACUAAUCAGAAAGCCACGGCUAAAUACGUG